rnacentral:rRNA from 1 species
GUGGGGAAUAUUGGACAAUGGGGGGAACCCUGAUCCAGCCAUGCCGCGUGUGUGAAGAAGGCCUUUUGGUUGUAAAGCACUUUAAGUUGGGAGGAAGGGCAGUAAGUUAAUACCUUGCUGUUUUGACGUUACCGACAGAAUAAGCACCGGCUAACUUCGUGCCAGCAGCCGCGGUAAUACGAAGGGUGCAAGCGUUAAUCGGAAUUACUGGGCGUAAAGCGCGCGUAGGUGGUUUUGUAAGUUGGAGGUGAAAUCCCCGGGCUCAACCUGGGAACUGCCUCAAAAACUGCAUGACUAGAGUACGAUAGCGGGUAGUGGAAUUUCCUGUGUAGCGGUGAAAUGCGUAGAUAUAGGAAGGAACACCAGUGGCGAAGGCGACUACCUGGACUGAUACUGACACUGAGGUGCGAAAGCGUGGGGAGCAAACAGGAUUAGAAACCCCGGUAGUCC